ACCCUGGGGGCCCGGGACCCCGCGCCCCGCGGCGCGCGGCCCAGAGUCCGAAACGGUGUCCCGGAGCCGGAGCUGCAGGGCGGCCCGCGGGACGCGUGGUGGCGCCCGAGUGCUGGGCUGGCGUCGGCGGGAAGGCACCGCCCCCUCUCGAGAGCCUCCGACCCUUCUCCGUCCCCAGAGAACUCAGACACCCCAAAUCCAUGACAAAAGAAGUCGAGACCGGGGCGAGUUCGUAGUUAGGGCCGCUAGCUGGGCCGGAGAGAGCAGAGGAGCUCAGGCCCGGGUGGAUCAACUCCGAGAAGGGAGGCGGGAAACCUUUGUCCCCGGAGCGCGCCCUUGGCCGCGCGGCCGGAUCCACCUGCCGGCAGGUGUCAGGGAGCCGCGCAGCCGCAGAUCCACCCUCUGCUUGUCCUCCUUUCUCUGUUGGACCCUACAACCCUCCCAUUUCUCUUCUAACUUCCUACUCUCUGUUGCUUCUCAAGUUCAUUGACCCACUUUAUACACACAUGUAUCCGAGUAAGACUCAAAAGCCACUUUUUUCUUUUUUUCUAUUUGAGAAAGGAGAGCUGUAGCUUUCAACAAAGCGGAUCAACUACUUUCCAUCAUGCAAUUUAUAAAUCUUGUUUUUACUUUAAAAAUAAGAGCUGUGAGAGCAUGCUCCUUAUCUUUGGCGCAUCUCUUUAACUUGGAAUCCGCAUCCUCCACAUGAACUGUUUGUAUUUCAGGUUCACGUUUGUUCGUUUCCACCUGGCACGGCUCUGUCCUGGGUCGGCCCUCUAAAGCUGGCCUCGCGGGCACACUCAACUCCGCGGUGCUGAGAAGGGACGGGACAAAUACUCCGAGCGCGGCAGAGCGCCCUUGGGCUCCGAGAGGGCUCCCGGGGAGAGAACCGGCCGCCAGAAAAUGACUCUGGGAACCAGGAUUGAGCGGCCUGAGCACAGGAGAUGGUCAGAAGCCACGGACGCUUUCUGCCCCAGCCUCUUCCUUUGCAGUUUAUAUUGACAGGACCCUGGCAGGUUUGAACGGGAAUGGCUCUCGAGUGGACAGGAUCAAGGUGGCAGGAAAAUAAAGCUGCAUCACACAAGCUCACCGACACAGUCUUACUUGGCACAGACGGUAACUUUAAUAUUACUUCCAUGGCUCACGGAGUGAAUGCUACGAUGGCAGAAAAGGCCAAGUGGAAGCCACGAGAAACUCCUCUAACGCUGACAACAGUGAAGCCACAGCAGGGAUCACAGAGGGACAUCUGAAUUCCUUGGCAGAGUAGGACUAGGGGAAAAUCAAGAUCUAGCUGAGAAGGAACCACGGACAUUUCAAAAGACACUUGAAUUUGUGGAUGGAUUCCACCGUGUUCGUCCCAAGACAACUUGAGCCUCCAAAGGGUUCUGCCAAAGGCCCUGAAAAUUAAACCAAUGAAACUGCCCCGUGGCCAGCCUUGGGUUGGUCCUGGGUCUGUUGCAGAGCUGUGAACUGGUUAAAUGGCAAAGCUGGGGACAGAGACUGGAGAUUGCCACUACACGGUUCCUCCACUCAGUGCUCUUUGCCACGACAGGAUUUCCCAGUGAAAACCACUCCUGGAAAUUACGCUGUAAGGGGAACGACAUGCAGGCCCAGACAGAAAAUGCUCCUUUCUCUGCAAAAAUAAAAUACACGCACACACACGCACACACACACACGCACACGCACCCUACAGAUAUUUGAAAUUGUACUCCCAGACCCAAAGGAGGAAGUUUAAGCUACUUGAACUCUGUGAAUUGGGAAAAAAUAGUCCAAGGUUGCACCGUGGAGACAGGACUUCUCCACUUCUCCCGGAACACCUAGAGCAAAUCAAGACCACUCCCCAGCGGCCCUGGAAACCAGGGUGUGCACUCCAGCUGUCCGUGCCCCUAGGACACUUUCCAGAGCCCUCUUCCUGUGGCCCCAGCCUCCUCAACCGACUCGGAAUGGCGAUUGGCUCCCUCUGGGGCUCCGGGUGAGGCCGCCCUCAGAGCCCUCGGAUGGCUGAGUUCCAGAAGGGAAGGCCCACUCACCCUUCCAGAGGAGGCCUCUGGGAAAAACAAUUCUGUCCCCCACCUCCUCGUUCGUAGUGUUUUCUUGAGCUUUUCAUUUUUUUUUUGGAGGUGCGUCAAAGCCUAAAGUGGCCUGUGGGCACCUCCUGCCUCCUGCCCAUGAGCCCCUCAAAUGACUACUGUCGUCCUGAGUCCACUCAUUAUCCUUGAGGGAUGUGUCGUGUAAAAUCUAUGUAUGAUCUAACACAAAUAGAUUUCCAAUGGUAACACUGGAUGCAGAUUGCGCUGACCGUCGCUUUUAUGUUAAACAUAACGACCCUUCUCGUCUUCUUCGAAAUAUGCAUAGCACUCCACUGUGGAGUUAGGCCAUAAUGUAUCCAAACAAAUAAUUCUGAAUAAUUAGGUUUUUCCCAAUCUUGUUAUUACAAUUAAUGCCACGGAGAAUAAACUUCAGCACAAUAUGGUC